GAUUUAUUCGCCAUUAUGCCAUCAAUGGGUUCCCAAAUACGAACGGAUCAAUAGACGGACCCCACAUCGACAUACAAUCACCAUCCCAAAACCAUUUCAAUUAUGUGAACAGAAAAGGCUUCCACUCUUUAUGUGCAGGUUAUGUGAUGAGCAAAAGACGCUACUGAAUGUAGUGGCAAUGGUUAGGUGGAACACAUGACUAGUUCAUUCUGCAGAACAGCAAUGUUGGGAGCUGUUGAGGAUGGACGGCUUAAUGUCUGAGUUUUUGGUAGCUUUGUUUAGUUGCGCCUUCUACGCAAUUUUGAUGUGGCCCCAGAAGGUUUAGGUGGUUUCAAGCACCCCAAAAGAUGGCAGUACAUCCACGGUAAUGUAAACGAGGACUUCAGCGCCAUGGGGAGAUUCUCUUUUGGGGAACCAUCCUCUCUUUGACUCCUCCAUACUCUCCUCCUUGACCUGGAAGCAGAUAAGUGGUCGAGUGGCCAAGGAGAGUAUCAAUUAGUAAGUAGGCGAACGCAGGUGUGUCCCUACCUCCUCCCACUGAGGAAGCAAAUGCCCAGAGUCCAUUGCAGAACAGUUUUGACAUAUGCCUCAUCCUCUUUGAAUCGGCUGUUGUUUACUUGGGGGAGAAAAGUAUGCACAUAUAUAAAAGGGAUAUGCUACUUAUCCCUUUAUCUAUAAAAUGUCUAGCACAACUAGCUAAAUGUAUUUGUACAACUACACAUGUAAUAUGGGAGUCCACCCUUGUAAACACAAUUUGCAUGAUGCCACAUGAGUGAAGGAGUCUCAAUUCAAACAAGUGCAUUUGUUUCUAUAUUUUCUUUCCCCUCCUUCUCGGUUACCAUUGACAUUUUUCAAAAGGAGGCGAGGGUAGAACGGAGGAGUUGAGCAAACCAAUUGAGAAUCUCCCAUAGAUGGC
ensembl:lncRNA